GAGGGGGCAGCUAAAAAGGGACUAUACAGAGUAGAGUAACAGUCCACUGUUUAUUCAGGGAGAGACAGAAGACAUAUGACUAGACUGAGACUGGGGCACUGUGGGCUGGCAUGGGACUUGGCAAGGAUGGGCAAGCAUGAAGAUGACAUAUGUGGAGCGUGCAACAUGCAACAAACUGUGAAACACCUACUCAUGAAAUGCAAAUGUUACAUGGAAGAAAAACAAAGGCUAUAUGUUGCAGUAUCGCGCCUGGUCAUAAAGAUACAUUUGUAGAAAUAGUCACUGCUACAAUCUGAUCUCAACCUGUGAGAGGCAGCAACGUGCCGCGAGGCAUCUAGUCUACCGAAAACUGAAGGAGAGGGAAAGGGGACUGGAUGACAUGAGGUGAUCGUCCACCACGGGGAAAAUGCCAAGAUUCAUGUGGUUAGUUUGCGUCGUUUACGGUUGCUAAAAUCGGUCAAACUGAGAAGCCAGGAGUAUUUUUUAUCAAGUCCUGGCCAAAGUCGUUGUUUUUAAGUGGGGAAAUGCAAGAAAUUGAGCGAAAAACGCCGAGGAAAAUGACUGGCGGCCGAACACCUGUGGCUGGGAGGAGCGAAGUCAGUGUGUACAGUGACCACCUCAUUGAAGACUGAACUCCCACAGUUAACCUUGGUGAUGCCCAUGCCUGAGAGGUGAGAGUCAAGUCCACGGACAACAAAGACUCACAGAUGGUGCAGAGGUCUUGCUGGAAUUGACAAGUGCCCACACUGCAAAGCAAGAUGAGGUUGAUCUGUGCCUGUGUGCUGGAGACAAGGGAUUCUGCCUUAUCAACAAUGGAGAUGAUGUUAUACAGGAGCUGCUACUUCCAAGUCCAGGUACAGCUUCACAU